GUGGUUAUUACGAAAAAAAGCUGGUUGCAUUGCCUAAUAUGCAAACACUGAACCUUUGUGUGUAUGGAGGAAAACCUGCAGGCAACAGUGAAAAGAUUGUGUUGUCCUUAUGAGCAGAAAUAACAAGAUGAAGGUUGAAAGUGAGCUGAAUAAUUCAACGAUUAAUAUAGCGGUGACGGACAUAAUGGCUUAUUUCUGCUCAUAGAUGACAUCAUGCCUUAAUUUUCUGGAAUUAUUCAGAUCUUGAAGCAGGCCAGGGGAACAAAGCUGAUGCCUCUCAAAGGGAAGGGUGUGGCACACAUCUAGGAGAAAGAGAACUGAUAGAAACAGAACAUCAAAAAUGUUCAUGAAAUGUAUCAAG